GAAACUCCAGAAGUGUUUUGUGAACUCAAACACUUUACCCACCCUCCCAUCGGCAUAGUGGCAGGCGAAUCCAGCAGCGGAGGAGGCGAGUCCUGCAGCAGUGGGGAAGUUAUUAACUGAGCAGAUGUGGACUUUGUGAGACAAACCGGUCAAAUUCAAACCAGGGUCUCCAUCGUUACGUCUCUUCCGUGCUAAUCUUCGAACUGCGUACAGAACACAGAAGAAUGUCAUUAGCCUGCACUCUCUCAGACUGGCAGAGGGUGAGACAAAACAGGACAGGACAGGACUCACUCUCUCUGAGACAGGACUGUAUUCUCGGAUGGGUUAUGUCCUCCUCUUUGCCGUUGAGCCAUAUUCGAUCCUCCUGGAAUGAUCUGCUCGUUGCAACGGUUGUGGUGGUUUUCAGCUAAACAGAAGAAACCAAAUCUGUUACAACACGUAGGCCGUCAUAUAACUGGUAUGAUGUCAAAUUAAAAAACUUGAGCCUCAAGUUACUUGCACGUCACAUUAUUCAAGCACAAUUCAAAGGCAAUGUCCAUUUAAAAAAAUUGGGAUCAUGUAUUCAUGCCGAGUUAUUUGGCAAGUUAGCUUUUUACAGCAACGUUGUCACACUUUGCCCAAACACCAGCUCUGCUCCGAGACAUUUCAAGACAAAAAACUGUUUAUGGAGUCUUUACAAGUCUUAAAAUGAUCAUUUGUUUUCAUGCCCCUUUGACUUUUUACAUAUUUAUUUCAUCUAUUUUAUCCUUUUGUGUUGUUAUUAUAGCUUUAUAACGUUUAUUUUAUGGUAUUUCACAGCAAACAUCAGUCAGCUGUGAAGUACUAUGAGCUGCACUAAACUGUAUGAAAGAUGCUUUACAAAUAAAGUUUGAUUGAUUGAUGUGAAA